ACUUCGGAAGAUUCAUUACCGAAACAUACCUCGGGAAGCGAACACUUGUGCUCUCAUAAAUACUUGAAGAAUAAAUAAAAUUUCUCAAAAUAUUUAAAGUGCAGGGACUAAAUAAAAUCAAUUUGAGAUGUCUUGUAAAAAAAAUCUCUUUUUAAUUCUGCUAUUUGCUGAAAAAAAAUCGAUAAGUCGUUACAAAUUGUUUAAAAUUAUAAAAUCAAUUCUAAGACUGCAAGAUUCUGUUGAUUGGUGAAAAUCAUUAAUAUAUAAAAAUAGAUUUAGCGUUAUAAUUUGUAAAAUAAGAUUCCAAUAUUCUAAGUCCGUCGGUAGAUUUUAAUACUUAGUCUAUUUUAUUCAUUCCUCUCUUGUAAAUAUAUCCGUAGGUUAAAAUAUAAAAUCAGUUCGAAGAUGGCAAGAUUCUACGUCCGUCGGUAGAAUAAUCAUUCGUUUCCUGCAAAUAUAUCCGUAAGUUAAAAUAUAAAAUCAGUUACAAGAAUGCAAAAUUACUUGUCCGUCAGUAGAAUAAUCAUUCGUUUCCUGUAAAUAUAUCCGUAAGUUAAAAUAUAAAAUCAGUUACAAGAAUGCAAAAUUCCUUAUCCGUCAGUAGAAAACUCAUUCUUCUCCUGUAAAUAUAUCCGUAAGUUAAAAUAUAAAAUCACUUACAAGAAUGCAAGAUUCCUUUGACAGCAGUACAUCCUCAUACUUAAGAUAAGUUGUUCUAUACGCUAGAGGAAGAAGAAUAGUCUUAAAGACAAUAAAGAAAAGCCUCUUGAAGCUGGUCGGUGUAUAGAUACAAGCAGUAUUCGCACUUCAACGUACGGAAGACUUCUUGUAACAGAUAUGUCGAGGCUCAACGAGGUCCAUCACGACAUAAUCCGCUUUCCGCAGUCGCAGGAAGGUUUACUAUUCCCUGACCAGCUGAAGACAACUUCGAAAAUAGCAGCACCAUGUGUACUGUCGCGUAACAUCACGUUGCUUCAGACUGCGAUGUGACCGCCCAUUUUCUCUUCAUUGCGAGCAUCAAAUACUGUACCUUUGGGUAGUGGAGAGGGGUGGGUAGUGAGCAGACCAAUUGACUACUCAGGCGGCUAGAUCCUGGGGAAGACGCCAGGGGCGAGCUGAAUGCAAUACCAAAAGUACUAUUGGUGUCAUAAUAAUGCUGCAAAAUGGGGCGGCAAUACCUUUUGGCUCCCAAAAGAGUAUAAUCAAUUAUUUAUAAAAUUGUAACGAAGUACGUAUGGCGUAAACAAGCUAAAUAUGAAGACCUGAAACUAAAGACGGUUUUUUGGGCGCAAUAGUGAGUUUGCGACGGGUGUUACUACACAACUGCAAAUGCCCAAAAUUACUGG